rnacentral:rRNA from 1 species
AUUGAACGCUGGCGGCAGGCCUAACACAUGCAAGUCGAGCGGAUGAGGGGAGCUUGCUCCCUGAUUUAGCGGCGGACGGGUGAGUAAUGCCUAGGAAUCUGCCUGGUAGUGGGGGAUAACGUUCCGAAAGGAACGCUAAUACCGCAUACGUCCUACGGGAGAAAGCAGGGGACCUUCGGGCCUUGCGCUAUCAGAUGAGCCUAGUUCGGAUUAGCUAGUUGGUGAGGUAAUGGCUCACCAAGGCGACGAUCCGUAACUGGUCUGAGAGGAUGAUCAGUCACACUGGAACUGAGACACGGUCCAGACUCCUACGGGAGGCAGCAGUCGGGAAUAUUGGACAAUGGGCGAAAGCCUGAUCCAGCCAUGCCGCGUGUGUGAAGAAGGUCUUCGGAUUGUAAAGCACUUUAAGUUGGGAGGAAGGGCUGCUGGUUAAUACCCUGCAGUUUUGACGUUACCAACAGAAUAAGCACCGGCUAACUUCGUG